GGGGAUGUCACGGAUUCGACAUGAUCAAGGUUUAAGUGAAUGCAGUAGGGUAUGCCCUUUAUAGCUUGAGAUGCAAUCAAAUGCAAACAAUCCAGAAGAAGUAGCUAUUAACCAACCAUUUUUAGCUAACCAAUUCCAAUACAACUGCGCAGUAGCUGCUUAAUUAUUAAACAGUUCAAUGUGCAUAUUGGGUGUAAUAGAAAUUUAAUCUCUUCUAUCUAAUACACUUUUAACCAAAGAGAAUAUAUCUUUGCGAUGCUAAUAACAUUGAUGAAUCUAAUCUUAGCUAUCUCUAGUGGUGGUAGUCUAUAACCAUACAACACUAGAUGAAGGUUCUAAUAGUAGACUAAACUGUAGUAUUCACUUAGGUUUUGUUUGUGGAAAUGGGUUCAAUUCCCAUCAUCUCCACCA
rnacentral:tmRNA from 1 species